rnacentral:hammerhead_ribozyme from 1 species
AUCCAGCAGACGAGUCCCAAGUAGGACGGAACGCGCGUCCUGGAU